CCUACGGGAGGCAGCAGUAGGGAAUAUUGCACAAUGGGGGAAACCCUGAAGCAGCAACGCCGCGUGGAGGAUGAAGGUUUUCGGAUUGUAAACUCCUUUUGUUAGAGAAGAUAAUGACAGUAUCUAACGAAUAAGCACCGGCUAAUUCCGUGCCAGCAGCCGCGGUAAUACGGAGGGUGCAAGCGUUACUCGGAAUCACUGGGCGUAAAGUGCGCGGAGGCGGGAUAGCAAGUCAGAUGUGAAAUCCUAUGGCUAAACCAGAGAACUGCAUCUGAUACUGUUAUUCUAGAGUAUGGGAGAGGUGGGUGGAAUUCUAGGUGUAGCGGUAAAAUGCGUAGAGAUCAAGAGGAAUACUCAUUGCGAAGGCGACCUGCUGGAACAAAACUGACGCUGAUGCGCGAAAGCGUGGGGAGCAAACAGGAUUAGAUACCCUAGUAGUC
rnacentral:rRNA from 1 species